GAUGAAGAACGCAGCGAAAUGCGAUACUUGGUGUGAAUUGCAGAAUCCCGUGAACCAUCGAGUCUUUGAACGCAAGUUGCGCCCGAAGCCAUUAGGCCGAGGGCACGCCUGCCUGGGUGUCACACACCGUUACCCUCGCGCCAACGUCCAUCGUUGGCCGCGGCGCGGGGCGUGCGCUGACCUCCCGCGAGCGGGGUCUCGUGGUUGGUUGAAAAUCGAGUUCGCGGUCGAGGGUGCCGUGAUGAAAUGGUGGAUGGGCGACGCCCGAGGCCAAUCACGCGCGACUCUGUCCGGCUCGGACUCAUGGACCCCUUCGGCGUCUCCGGACGCUCUUGGCGAGACCUCAGGUCAGGCGGGGCUACCCGCUGAGUUUAAGCAUAUCAAUAAGCGGAGGA
rnacentral:misc_RNA from 1 species